GCACAAAAUGAUUAGUGGCGAACGGGUGAGUAACACGUGAGUAACCUGCCCUUAACUUCGGGAUAAGCCUGGGAAACCGGGUCUAAUACCGGAUACGACGGACCACCGCAUGGCGGUCCGUGGAAAGCUUGAUGCGGUUUUGGAUGGACUCGCGGCCUAUCAGCUAGUUGGUUGGGGUAAUGGCCCACCAAGGCGACGACGGGUAGCCGGCCUGAGAGGGUGACCGGCCACACUGGGACUGAGACACGGCCCAGACUCCUACGGGAGGCAGCAGUGGGGAAUAUUGCACAAUGGGCGAAAGCCUGAUGCAGCGACGCCGCGUGAGGGACGAAGGCCUUCGGGUUGUAAACCUCUUUCAGCAGGGAAGAAGCGAAAGUGACGGUACCUGCAGAAGAAGCGCCGGCUAACUACGUGCCAGCAGCCGCGGUAAUACGUAGGGCGCAAGCGUUAUCCGGAAUUAUUGGGCGUAAAGAGCUCGUAGGCGGUUUGUCGCGUCUGCUGUGAAAGCCCGGGGCUCAACCCCGGGUCUGCAGUGGGUACGGGCAGACUAGAGUGCAGUAGGGGAGACUGGAAUUCCUGGUGUAGCGGUGAAAUGCGCAGAUAUCAGGAGGAACACCGAUGGCGAAGGCAGGUCUCUGGGCUGUAACUGACGCUGAGGAGCGAAAGCAUGGGGAGCGAACAGGAUUAGAUACCCUGGUAGUCCAUGCCGUAAACGUUGGGCACUAGGUGUGGGGGACAUUCCACGUUUUCCGCGCCGUAGCUAACGCAUUAAGUGCCCCGCCUGGGGAGUACGGCCGCAAGGCU
rnacentral:rRNA from 1 species